AACUCCCUGUCCGGCAAAGCCGCAGCGGGCAGCCGGUACUCAGUCUUGGAGCUGAAGUCGUGAGACAAGGUUUAAGCGUAGACAGAGGAGCACAUGGACCGCAGUGCCUCACAGAGAGGGACGAGUCCAAUCCGCCACGUAAUCAAUAUAGAGUGGAAGCCGAUGUUUGUCUUGUGACAGAAGGCAGUAAGAACCAUGCGUUAAGCGAGUAUGGGGAGAUUCCACCGGGGUCCAAG
rnacentral:ncRNA from 1 species